AUGGUGUCAAUGCGGAAACAACUGCAAAAAGAACUGUUGGCUUUGAAGAAUUACCCACCUCCAGGAAUGACUUUAAAUGAAAAGAGCAUUUAGAAUUCAAUUAUGCAGUGUAUCCUAGACAUGGAAGUUUCACCGGGAAGAUUAUAUGAAGGGGAAAAAAUUCAACUUUUGUUUUAAUUUAAUAGCCGUACCCUUUGAGUCUCCUCAGGUCAUGUUUACUGGUGAAAAGUUCACAUUUAUCCUCAUGUGUAUAUCAAUGGUCAUCACAACUGUUUAUCCAUUCUGACAGAAGACGUGUCCCCUGUGAUAUCAGUGCAAUCAGUCUGUCUCAGCAUUAUCAGCAUGCUUUCCAGCUACAAAGAGAAGAGACGGCGACCAGAUAAUUCCAUCUAUUUGUGAACAUGUAACAAGAAUCCAAAGAAAACAAAAUGGUGGUAUCAUGAUGAUACUUGU
rnacentral:lncRNA from 1 species